AGAGUUUGAUCCUGGCUCAGGAUGAACGCUAGCGGCAGGCCUAACACAUGCAAGUCGAGGGGCAUCGGGAUUGAAGCUUGCUUCAAUUGCCGGCGACCGGCGCACGGGUGCGUAACGCGUAUGUAACCUACCUAUAACAGGGGCAUAACACUGAGAAAUUGGUACUAAUUCCCCAUAAUAUUCGGAGAGGCAUCUCUCCGGGUUGAAAACUGCGGUGGUUAUAGAUGGACAUGCGUUGUAUUAGCUAGUUGGUGAGGUAACGGCUCACCAAGGCAACGAUACAUAGGGGGACUGAGAGGUUAACCCCCCACACUGGUACUGAGACACGGACCAGACUCCUACGGGAGGCAGCAGUGAGGAAUAUUGGUCAAUGGACGCAAGUCUGAACCAGCCAUGCCGCGUGCAGGAAGACGGCUCUAUGAGUUGUAAACUGCUUUUGUACGAGGGUAAACUCACCUACGUGUAGGUGACUGAAAGUAUCGUACGAAUAAGGAUCGGCUAACUCCGUGCCAGCAGCCGCGGUAAUACGGAGGAUCCAAGCGUUAUCCGGAUUUAUUGGGUUUAAAGGGUGCGUAGGCGGUUUGAUAAGUUAGAGGUGAAAUCCCGGGGCUUAACUCCGGAACUGCCUCUAAUACUGUUAGACUAGAGAGUAGUUGCGGUAGGCGGAAUGUAUGGUGUAGCGGUGAAAUGCUUAGAGAUCAUACAGAACACCGAUUGCGAAGGCAGCUUACCAAACUAUAUCUGACGUUGAGGCACGAAAGCGUGGGGAGCAAACAGGAUUAGAUACCCUGGUAGUCCACGCAGUAAACGAUGAUAACUCGUUGUCGGCGAUACACAGUCGGUGACUAAGCGAAAGCGAUAAGUUAUCCACCUGGGGAGUACGUUCGCAAGAAUGAAACUCAAAGGAAUUGACGGGGGCCCGCACAAGCGGAGGAACAUGUG
rnacentral:rRNA from 1 species